UGUUCGAACAACCUCGACCAGAACAGACCAGAUCCUCCAAGGUAAUACAAAACCCUCCUUUUCAUAGGUUAUAAGGCUUAGAUUAAGUAACGGAACUGUUGUAAGAACCGUCGCCAGUGUCCGGACAAUCCGACCACGUGGUUGAUUUCCUUCUUACUCAAUUGCAUUUACUUUCAUAGCUCUCCGUAAUUCGACGUUAUCAGCAGGGUAAUUCAGGGUAGGAUGAGUCGAUGGAGUAUUUAUAUACAGUGUUGUGUGUGGUGUUAAUCUGAUCUUAGGUGAGCAAACUUGUUUUUAACACGUGCAUAUAAAUGGCGUCAUCUUUGUCGAUAUUUGAAUGCAACAUUUUUGAAACACGUGACUAACUGUGAAUGAAGAUUAACCAUUUAGUCUCACAACAAGAUUCAUAAUGUGGUGUUAUAUCCACGUUUUAAAAAAAAGUUGCCUGCCAUCAAGUUGAGAACCGUGCUGUUGUAUAUAAACUCUCUAUUGGCUCAUCCUACUCUCAAUAAUCCGGAAGAUAUUGUUGAAUUAAGGAAACCUAUGAAAGUAAAAGCAGUUGAGUAAGCGAAGAAUCAACUGCAUAAUCUGCUAUUUAGAUUCUACACACACUGGCAGGAACUCUUACUUCAGUUCCGUUCUUAGUCUGAGUACAUAACCUAUGAUUAAGGACGGUAGCCAAGAAACUCGGAAGUGAGCUAUGAAUUGCUUUUGUUGAUACGAGUUUCUACGUUGCUUUGGAGACAUGUUUGCACGUUGCCGCAUUAGACUGUUGAAGCAAAUGAAUAGAACAGUUUAGCAUUUGUGAAACGACAUUUUGAAAAGUCGUCCUCAAUGUAUGGAGAAUCGAAAUGGUGAAAGGCGAUGGGCUGAUUUUGCCUGCUCAGAUGAUUUUACUUGUACGGCUGCCUUAAGUCAUCCCAGGAAGGCCAACUGGAAAAUAUGGAAAAAACUGUAAAACAGCCUUCAUAAAGUGAACCAAUGGGUGCAGUCAGUCUACGAAAGUCCUGAUUAGAACGAGGUGAAAUAUUAAACAAUCCGUUCCCAGGCGUACCAAGUUUCCGGCGAAGAAGUCUUCCAGUGUGUGGAAUUGGAAAGGUCGUCAACCAAAUGAGCAGUGUAGUUUAAUUGUUCGAACAACCUCGAACAGAACAGUCGCAAGUAAUCCACAUCCUGAGGUAAUACAAGAUCGUCAUUCCUAAGGUGAACCAAUGGGUCCAGUCAGUCCACGGAAGUCCUGAUUAGAACGAGGUGAAAUAUUAAACAAUCCGUUCCCAGGCGUACCAAGUUUCCGGCGAAGAAGUCUCCCAGUGUGUGGAAUUGGAAAGGUCGUUAACCAAAUGAGCAGUGUAGUUUAAUUGUUCGAACAACCUCGAACAGAACAGUCGCAAGUAAUCCACAUCUUGAGGUAAUACAAGAUCGUCAUUCCUAAGGUGAACCAAUGGGUUCAGUCAGUCCACGGAAGUCCUGAUUAGAACGAGGUGAAAUAUUAAUCAAUCCGUUCCCAGGCGUUGCCAAAUCUCCGGCGAAGAAGUCCCCAGUGGGUGGAAUUGGAAUGGGACAAGGUCAUUGGUUUUUGGAUGUUGGGAGUUUGUUCCUACGUUGCUUUGGAAACAUGUUUGCACGUUGCCACAUUCAACUGUUGAAGUUGUUUAGGUCGUCAACCAAAUGAGCAGUGCAGUUUAGUUGUUCGAACAACCUCGAACAGAACAGUCGCAAGUAGUCCAGAUCCUCCAAGGUAAUACAAAACCCUCCUUAGUUCUCAUAGGUUAUAAGGCUUAGAUUAAGUAACGGAACUGUAGUAAGAACCGUCGCCAGUGUCCGGACAAUCCGACCACGUGGUUGAUUUCCUUCUUACUCAGUUGCAUUUACUUUCAUAGCUUUCGGUAAUUCGACGUUAUCAACAGGGUAAUUCAGGGUAGGAUGAGUCGAUGGAGUAUUUAUAUACAGUGUUGUGUGUGGUGUUAAUCCGAUCUUAGGUGUGCAAACUUGUUUUUAACACGUGCAUAUAAAUGGCGCCCUCUUUGUCUAUAUUUGAAUGCAACAUUUUUGGAACACGUAACUCACUGUGAAUGAAGAUUAACCAUUUAGUCUCACAAAAAGAUUCAUAAUGAUGGUGUUAUAUCCACGUUUUAAAAACAAGUUGCCUGCCAUCAAGUUGAGAACCGUGCUAUUGUAUAUAAACUCUCUAUUGGCUCAUCCUACUCUCAAUAAUCCGGAAGAUAUUGUUGAAUUAAGGAAACCUAUGAAAGUAAAAGCAGCUGAGUAAGCGAAGAAUCAACUGGACAAUCUACUAUUUCGAUCCUCCAACACUGGCAGGAGCUCUUAUUUCAGUUCCGUUCUUAGUUUGAGUACAUAACCUAUGAUUAAGGACGUUAGCCAAGAAACUCGAAGUGAGCUAUGAUUGCUUAGUUUCUACGUUGCCUUGGAGACAUGUUUGCACGUUGCUGCAUUCAACUGUUGAAACAAAUGAAAAGAACAGUUCAGUUUUUGUGAAACGGCAUUUUGAAAAGUCGUCCUCAAUGUAUGAAGAAUCGAAGUGGUGAAAGGUGAUGGGCUGACUUGGCCUGUUCAGAUGAUUUUUCUUGUUUGGUUUGCCAUAAUUCAUCCCUGGGGGGACAACUGGAAAAUAUGGAAAAAAGAACUGUAAAACAAUCUUCAUAAGUUGAACCAAUGGAACCAGUGUUACCAAAUCUCCGGCGAAGAAGUCCCCUAGUGUGUGUAAUUGGAAUGGUACAAGAUCAUUACUUUCUGGAUGUUGGGAGUUUGAUCCUACGUUGCUUUGGAGACAUGUUUGCACGUUGCCACAUUCAACUGUUGAAGUUGUUUAGGUCGUCAACCAAAUGAGCAGUGUAGUUUAGUUGUUCAAACAACUUCGGACAGAACAGUCGCAAGUAAUCCACAUCCUGAGGUAAUACAAGACCGUCCUUGAUAAGGUGAACUAAUGGGUUCAGUCAGUCCAUGGAAGUUCUGAUUAGAACGAGAUGAAAUAUUAAACAAUCCGUCCUCAGGCGUUACCAAGUCUCCGGCGAAGAAAUCCUCCAGUGUGUGUAAUUAGAAUGGUACAAGAUCAUUGCUUUCUGAAUGUUGGAAGUCGUUCCUGCGUUGCUUUGAAUCCACAUCCUCCGAGGUAAUACAAGACCGUCCUUAGUUCUCAUAGGUUUUAGUCUCAGACUUGGAA